GGGGGGGGGGGGGGGGGGGGGGGGGGGGGGGGGGGCGGGGGGAGGGGCCCCUUGGGGGGGGCUCGAGGGGCGAACGGGUGAGUAGCACGUGAGUAACCUGCCCUUGGCUUCGGGAUAACUUCAGGAAACUGGGGCUAAUACCGGAUAGGAAUCCUUGCUGCAUGGUGGGGGUUGGAAAGCUUCGGCGGUUUUGGAUGGACUCGCGGCUGAUCAGCUGGUUGGUGGGGUAGUGGCUUACCAAGGCUUUGACGGGUAGCCGGCCUGAGAGGGCGACCGGCCACAUUGGGACUGAGAUGCGGCCCAGACUCCUACGGGAGGCAGCAGUGGGGAAUAUUGCACAAUGGGCGGAAGCCUGAUGCAGCAACGCCGCGUGCGGGAUGACGGCCUUCGGGUUGUAAACCGCUUUCAGCAGGGGCGAAGCUUGUGGUGACGGUACCUGCAGAAGAAGCACCGGCUAACUACGUG
rnacentral:rRNA from 1 species